rnacentral:rRNA from 1 species
ACCAGACUCCUACGGGAGGCAGCAGUAGGGAAUUUUGCGCAAUGGGGGAAACCCUGACGCAGCAACACCGCGUGAAUGUUAAGCCCUUCGGGGUGUAAAGUUCUGUCAAUAGGGACGAAUUUUGACUGUACCUAUAAAGGAAGCACCGGCUAACUCCGUGCCAGCAGCCGCGGUAAUACGGAGGGUGCGAGCGUUAAUCGGAAUCACUGGGCGUAAAGCGCGCGUAGGCGGCUUUUCAAGUCAGGGGUGAAAUCCCACGGCCCAACCGUGGAACUGCCUUUGAAACUGUAGAGCUUGAGUGUCGGAGAGGGUGGCGGAAUUCCAGGUGUAGGAGUGAAAUCCGUAGAUAUCUGGAGGAACACCGGUGGCGAAGGCGGCCUGCUGGACUGCGACUGACGUUGAGGCCCGAAAGCGUGGGGAGCAAACAGGAUUAGAUACCCCAGUA